CACGAACGCUGGCGGCAGGCUUAACACAUGCAAGUCGAGCGCAUCGCAAGAUGAGUGGCGCACGGGUGAGUAACACGUGGGAAUGUAUCCUUUGGUUCGGAAUAACGUUUGGAAACGAACGCUAAUACCGGAUGAGCCCUACGGGGGAAAGAUUUAUCGCCAAAGGAGCAGCCCGCGUCUGAUUAGGUAGUUGGUGGGGUAAUGGCCUACCAAGCCGACGAUCAGUAGCUGGUCUGAGAGGAUGAUCAGCCACACUGGGACUGAGACACGGCCCAGACUCCUACGGGAGGCAGCAGUGGGGAAUAUUGGACAAUGGGCGCAAGCCUGAUCCAGCCAUGCCGCGUGAGUGAUGAAGGCCUUCGGGUUGUAAAGCUCUUUCGCACACGACGAUGAUGACGGUAGUGUGAGAAGAAGCCCCGGCUAACUUCGUGCCAGCCGCCGCGGUAACAC
rnacentral:rRNA from 1 species